GACGAACGCUGGCGGCGUGCUUAACACAUGCAAGUCGAACGGAAAGGCCCUGCUUUUGUGGGGUGCUCGAGUGGCGAACGGGUGAGUAACACGUGAGUAACCUGCCCUUGACUUUGGGAUAACUUCAGGAAACUGGGGCUAAUACCGGAUAGGAGCUCCUGCUGCAUGGUGGGGGUUGGAAAGUUUCGGCGGUUGGGGAUGGACUCGCGGCUUAUCAGCUUGUUGGUGGGGUAGUGGCUUACCAAGGCUUUGACGGGUAGCCGGCCUGAGAGGGUGACCGGCCACAUUGGGACUGAGGUACGGCCCAGACGCCAACGGGAGGCAGCAGUGGGGAAUAUUGCACAAUGGGCGGAAGCCUGAUGCAGCAACGCCGCGUGCGGGAUGACGGCCUUCGGGUUGUAAACCGCUUUCGCCUGUGACGAAGCGUGAGUGACGGUAAUGGGUAAAGAAGCACCGGCUAACUACGUG
rnacentral:rRNA from 1 species